AGUUAAUCAAGCACAGUUGCUGAGAAGCGGCCCAUACUCCUCUGGAGCCCCGUGGCAGCCCCCACAGCGUGUUCCCUGCCAGCCCCCAGCUCUGCAGAAACGGCUUUCUGCGCAAGGACCCCGAGCGUGUGGUGACUUGUUUUCUCUGGACUCCACAGAGAGCAUUUAUUCGUUUUGCAGGAUGAACAGCAGGCAAUACUUGGGACAGUCAGCCAUUUUGUUAAAUACUUUAUUGGACCCCAACAUGAAGGAGAAAGCUGAAAAGUUGCCCGUUUUCAACAGAAAUGCAAACUGAAAAUCCAGCUUUGCUGGUGUUGAGGAGGGUUCCAGCUGGAAAUACACGUUGAAGCAUCAGAACUGCAGCUGUCCAGGUGGAAUUGCAAAUGCCAGGUAAGAACCCUGACUCCCUCCCAGCAUGAAGAGGUACAGGGAUGCAGAGAACAGAGCUCACAGAUACCUGCUUCUGGCUCAGGAAUGAAGCUGAUUGCUCUGCAUCAGGUGUCAG
ensembl:lncRNA